GAUGAACGCUGGCGGCGUGCUUAACACAUGCAAGUCGAGCGGUAAGGCUCCUUCGGGGGUACACGAGCGGCGAACGGGUGAGUAACACGUGAGUAAUCUGCCCUUGGCUCUGGGAUAAGCACUCGAAAGGGUGUCUAAUACCGGAUAUGACGCACUCUCGCAUGGGAUGUGUGUGGAAAGUUUUUUCGGCCAGGGAUGUGCUCGCGGCCUAUCAGCUUGUUGGUGGGGUAAUGGCCUACCAAGGCUUUGACGGGUAGCCGGCCUGAGAGGGUGACCGGUCACACUGGGACUGAGACACGGCCCAGACUCCUACGGGAGGCAGCAGUGGGGAAUAUUGGACAAUGGGCGGAAGCCUGAUUCAGCAACGCCGCGUGAGGGAUGACGGCCUUCGGGUUGUAAACCUCUUUCAGUACCGACGAAGCGUGAGUGACGGUAGGUACAGAAGAAGCACCGGCCAACUACGUGCCAGCCGCCGCCGUAAUAC
rnacentral:rRNA from 1 species